UCAAGUCCCACAGGCUGUUCAUUCCGAGCUAGGCUCUCCCAUGAAGGCGGUGGAAUAAAGAGUAGGUCACAACCAAUCUCCCAUAGGCAUGUUUGCUGGCAGGGGAAUGCAUGGACAAAAUAAAGAAGGAAAAGGAGAUAGGGUGGUUACUUUUCCAUUUUCCUUGAGCAAAACAGUUUUAUUCAAGUGUUUUCCAUUUUUAGUAAGAACCAAAGUUAGAUAUUUUGGCUGAAGACCCUCCACUUGCCUCAGCAAUGGCACCAGCUCCUUGUCCUGACUUGCUCUGAGCCUGAUCUGCCUCUGCCAGCUACCCUGUCCUGGCUGCCCCCGCCCCACCAUGGCCCCCAUCCAUUGCCAGACAGACAUGAUGGCCCCACGGAGCAGAUCCUGGAGCUUCCACCCCACCGCUAAGGGCAAUGUCUUCCCCUCCCAGUUUGCAGGAUGGCUUUCAGCAACUUGAGAAGCCUAACCCCCAGGGCGCUCAUCCCUCUGCCUUGCCCUGCCAGGUUUCCACUGCCCCCAGGCACGUGGGGUUUUUUUAAUUGCUGCCUGCAUUUCCUUAUAAUUCCUUUAGCUCCCUACAAUUCACUGCUGGGGACACAGAGCUGCUUUCGCUUAUCUCCACAAACAUUUAGUUUCACCUUUCACUUGCUCCCUCCUGCCUUGCUGCUUCUGCUCAUUUGCCUUUUAUGCAGACCUCUACCCAAACCUGCCUAACAUCCCCCCUCAUGACUCAGCUCUUUCACUAUUAUUUCAGUUCUUCUAAAGUUAAUGUCCUCCCAACACUGUUAUGUUAGAGCACUUGCUACAGACUCAGGAAAACCAGGGCUGGGGCAAAUCCAAGGCAGAAGGAUGAAGUAUUUCCAUAGUGAGGGAAGGAGAAGGCUUGCUUUGGGCAGCAGGAUCCAUCUCGAGGCCAGGUGCAGGCAUUGGCAAAUGCUUCCUGAUGCAGCUAUGAUAAUAAACACCUCAGGACAGAUAAAUACUUGUGGUAAUUCAACAGGACAAUUCAGUGAAUGCAUUUUCUACAGGAAAAAGCCUCUUCUUCCACCUCCCACCCUAUAAAAGCUGUCCAAGGUCACAGACAGCUGCUUUCCAACCUGGCAGCACCUUCUUGGCAGGCCAACAGGGACAAAAUAAUCACUUUCCCCCCUCACUCCACACUUGCCAGGGGAAGCCAGAGCUGUCAUGCAUGCAGGAGUCUGGAGGGCAGUCCACACACUAUUCGAAUGUCCUAUUGCAACCAACCUGGCAAUGCCCAAAGGGGAAGGACCAGAGAAGAAACCUCGUAUGAAAGUCUUAUACCACCAAGCCAGUGAUUAUGAUUAUGAGUAAUGGUCCAGCUUCUGAUGAUUGUUUUUGACCAUGGUUUGUACUUCAGACAUCCUACUGAAGAGACAUAAAUAAGAUAGAAGUUUUACCAGUAAAUGAAUGUGUAAGGACAGACCCACGUCUGUCUCAAUAUUCAUUGUAUUUCAGAGUGCAGAGGUAAGACUUAGCUGUCUUUUCUUGGAUUGCAAUUGCUGCUGUGUCCAAUGUUAGGAAUAUCUAACCAUGUUAAUUUGUCUAAUUCAGGAAUAAUUCCUGUGAAUUCCUGAUCUUAGACAAUAUCCUGAUUACUAGAAAAUAUUGGUGUAAACCAAAUGCAAAAUAUAACAAGACCUUUCCUAGUGAUCAGCCCAGGGACAUUAAUUGUUUCUUUAUUUUGCAGUAGUAGAACAUGGACUUCUGAAGGCUCAGCUCUGCUGUUCAAUCACACAAAAGAUACUCUGCAGCUGUAUAAGAUAGAAUUUCUUCAGGGUUAUUGCUCUUUUUAGUUUACUUUAUUAAGAUAAUGAGAUCUGUGUAAUAACAGUCCUUAUGUGUGCAAAUUUCAAACAGCUUGUGGCAAACUUUUGAUUUGUUCAAGUGAUUGAUACCACAUUUAAAAUAAAACAUAAAAAUAAAAAUGUAAAAAUAUAUAAAACCAAAAAAGACAGAGAACUCAGAGAUAUUAUUCCUGUGUGUUCUAUAAAGGCAGUUGGCUGGGAAGACAGAUUGAGCUAAUGUUUCUGCAGAAGGAAGUAAAAUGAAAAAGAAAGCAGACUGGCCUGAGUGGUUACUAGACAUCAGAAAAACCAUCUGGGAGAAGGAAAGAGCCACGUCUUAUUGCUUUUAUGGAUUUAUAGAAAAUUGAGAUCCUACAACAUACUCAAAAUCUCUAUAAACAGCGAUCCAAACUGAGACCCCUUGAGCUCUUCCAGACAGCAGCAAUCUGUGACCAGCAAUGUCCCUCUGAGUGGGACACCUCUCAGAGCCAGAGAACUCUCAAGUUUGCUGUACUUGGAUGAUCACUGAACAAUGACAGCAGAUCCUGGGCCGAUACCCUGACUCCUCAAGACUCAACCCUUCGCUUGUUGAAAAGAUGCAAAGGCAUCUGAAGUACUUCACUGAAUCCGAGGACAAUUUUUCAAGUGUAUACCUUGUGCAGGCUCUUUAUGUCUGUGUGCAUGCAAGCAUGAAUAUGCCAUAGCAAAUGUACCAGGAAUGUUCCUCCCCUAGAUUCUUAAGUAUUUUAGGUUUGUAGUAAGUUAGGCCUGUAAGUGAGUUACUGUUAUGCUAUAGUAAAUUCUAUAUGAAUCCCUUGCUAAGUUGUUUAUCUUAAGAUAUUAAGUGCAGUUAAGGUUAAGUGCUUUUGGACCUUUAGGUCCAAAACUGUUUGUCAAGUUUAGCACAAGAGUCUACUCUGAACCUUGUGACCCAACAGGAGGGUCUUCCAUAUUCCUUUUUUUCCUUGCCCUUUCCUAUUCUUUUCUUCUCUGACCUACCCCCUUGCCCUAUCCCUCAGCCUCCACAUAGAUGAUUUUGGGUUUACUUUGGUUUAGAUUGAUUUAUUUUAGAUUUUUGGGUUGCUUUUGUCUGUGUGCUUUAAGUAGAGUGAACCUUGCCUAUGAGCUUUGUUGUGCUAUUGCAUUUAUAUUAAACCUGUUUUUGCUGA